GACGAACGCUGGCGGCGUGCUUAACACAUGCAAGUCGAACGGAAAGGCCCUGCUUUUGUGGGGUGCUCGAGUGGCGAACGGGUGAGUAACACGUGAGUAACCUGCCCUUGACUUUGGGAUAACUUCAGGAAACUGGGGCUAAUACCGGAUAGGAGCUCCUGCUGCAUGGUGGGGGUUGGAAAGUUUCGGCGGUUGGGGAUGGACUCGCGGCUUAUCAGCUUGUUGGUGGGGUAGUGGCUUACCAAGGCUUUGACGGGUAGCCGGCCUGAGAGGGUGACCGGCCACAUUGGGACUGAGAUACGGCCCAGACUCCUACAGGAGGCAGCAGUGGGGAAUAUUGCACAAUGGGCGGAAGCCUGAUGCAGCAACGCCGCGUGCGGGAUGACGGCCUUCGGGUUGUAAACCGCUUUCGCCUGUGACGAAGCGUGAGUGACGGUAAUGAAUAAAGAAGCACCGGCUAACUACGUG
rnacentral:rRNA from 1 species